UACGUUAAUGAGUCCCCCGAUAAGAAAAGCUGGACAUGAUAAAGCCCUUCAAGCUGCACUUUCAACAGGAAUUUUGCAGGUAGUAUUAUUAUUAUGCUUUGUGUUGUAAUGCAUGAACCUACGACAGUAAGCACCUUCAGGUCGUGCAAUUAAAUUUGUUUAAAUACUUCACUAGUAUGGUUUUGUCUGUUUGACCCUUAGGAGGUUGUGAAAGUGAUAGGUGUAGACAUCUUGGUAUUAAUACAGUUCUCAGUACAUAACUUGUAAUUUUCAUAUUUUUCUCUAAAUGAUUUGAUGUUUUGUAAUUUUUCAUACUUUCAUGUUGCCACAUAUAGCUGUUCUGUGAUCAGAAACUUUCAGUUUGGACAAAAUACUAUCAUUUUCCCCUAAUAUGUUUUCUGUUCUAUUUUUCAAUUACUUUAUGGCAAUCCUUUUGUUUGUCCCACAUCCAAUAAAAUCAAUGCCUGAGAAACUACUGGAAUAUCAUUCUGGCUUUUUGCAGCUUGUAGGGAAGGAACGGAUCAUUGUGCCUUAAACUCUACACAAAAAGCUCUUGCUUUGAUGACUUCCGGAAAAGUCCCUAAUGGUGUCAAUGGUAUAGAGGAAAGGAUGCAUUUAAUUUGGGACACGAUGGUGGCAUCUGGCAAAUAUCUGUCACAGAUUAUGUGCGGAUAACAAGCACCGAAAUGGUAUUUCAUCAUCAUGAUCAUGUUCACAACAUCAAAAUUUGCUUUCAGUCAUGCUCAGAUUAAUUGAAAAUUCAGACCAGAUUCAACUGAAAUUUAUUUACCAGAUCCUUCAUAGAGUUAUUUGUAUGCUUAUUCAUAGCGUGCUUUUAAUCACAUUGAUAAAACAUAAUAUUUCUGAAUGCUUAAUUUUAUAUAA